AGGGGGAGCAAUCCCCCCUAGAGCGGCGGACUGGUGAGUAACGCGUGGGUGACCUACCUUGGGGAUGGGGACAGCCGCUAGAAAUAGCGGGUAAUACCGAAUAAUGUUGUCUUGCUUUGGCGAGGCAAAGAAAGGGGCUUUGGCCCCGCCCUAAGACGGGCCCGCGUCCCAUUAGCUGGUUGGCGGGGCAAAGGCCCACCAAGGCGAUGAUGGGUAGCCGGCCUGAGAGGGUGAACGGCCACACUGGGACUGAGAUACGGCCCAGACUCCUACGGGAGGCAGCAGCUAAGAAUAUUCCGCAAUGGGCGAAAGCCUGACGGAGCGACGCCGCGUGUGCGAAGAAGGCCGAAAGGUUGUAAAGCACUUUUGCGGGCGAAGAAUAAGGGGGGCAGGGAAUGGCCCCGCGAUGACGUUAGCCCGCGAAUAAGCCCCGGCUAAUUACGUGCCAGCAGCCGCGGUAACACGUAAGGGGCGAGCGUUGUUCGGAAUUAUUGGGCGUAAAGGGCGCGUAGGCGGUCAAGCAAGUCUGGCGUGAAAGGCAAGGGCUCAACCCUUGGACUGCGCUGGAAACUGCGGGACUAGAGUCAUGGAGGGGGAGCUGGAAUUCCUGGUGUAGGGGUGAAAUCUGUAGAUAUCAGGAAGAACACCGGUGGCGAAGGCGAGCUUCUAGCCAAUGACUGACGCUGAGGCGCGAAAGUGCGGGGAGCAAACAGGAUUAGAUACCCUGGUAGUCCGCACUAUAAACGAUGUGCACUAGGUGUUGGGCCGAGCGGUUCAGUGCCGGAGCGAACGCGAUAAGUGCACCGCCUGGGGAGUAUGCCCGCAAGGGUGA
rnacentral:rRNA from 1 species